GAGGCGGCGACCAUCUUCCCAGGCGCUGUCCCUGACACCCGUCUGUGUGGGGAUUUCGAACAUUGGGGUCAGAGAACAUUACCUGGGAUAUAAAACCCAAAUCCUGCGUGCGUCGUCCUAAGAUCUCACAGUAUACACGGAGGUGACGUCCGUGCAGCGGAGGGCACUGUAAAACCCUGCGUGCGUCGUCCUCAGAUCGCACAGUAUACACGGAGGUGACGUCCGUACGGCGGAGGGCACUGUAAAACCCUGCGUGCGUCGUCCUCAGAUCGCACAGUAUACACUGAGGUGACGUCCGUGCGGCGGAGGGCACUGUAAAACCCUGCGUCGUCUGCCGCUCAGAUCUCACAGUAUACACUGAGGUGACGUCUGUGCGGCGGAGGGCACUGUAAAACCCUGCGUGCGUCGUCUGCCGCUCAGAUCUCACAGUAUACACUGAGGUGAUGUCCGCGUGGGCACUGUAAAACCCUGCGUGCGUCGUCCUCAGAUCGCACAGUAUACACUGAGGUGACGUCCGUGCGGCGGAGGGCACUGUAAAACCCUGCGUGCGUCGUCUGCCGCUCAGAUCUCACAGUAUAGACUGAGGUGACGUCUGCGCGGCGGAGGGCACUGUAAAGCCGUGCGUCCUCGUCAGAUCGCACAGUAUACAGUGAGGUGACGUCUGCACGGCGGAGGGCACUGUAAAGCCGUGCGUCCUCGUCAGAUCGCACAGUAUACACUGAGGUGAUGUCCGCGCGGCGGAGGGCUCUGUAAGACGCUUCAGAUAUGCCACAUGAAAGCCUGUGACUGCAGAACUGCGCGAGCCAUGACGAUAGCGCAGAUCAGGUUUUGGGUGGCAUGCCCCCAGUGCAGUUAAGUAGAGGAGAUUUUAAAAUCACCUCCACAUGGAGCAGAUCCGGGCAGAAUCCACCUGGAACGCCUGCAGCGUUUAAUGCAGGAGAGGCAAUGCCCCAAAAUCUGCUGGAAAACGUGUGCAGGUGGCCUGAUUCUCUC